rfam:Cariama cristata contig13846, whole genome shotgun sequence.
UGUUGUUGCAAUAGCAAUCCUGCUCAGUAUGAGAGGAACUGCCGGUUCAGACCCCGGUGCGUGCACUUGGCUGAGAAGCACCUGGCGUGAGGCUACCACCUGCGGGCUUAUGGCUGAACACCUCGCAAGUCAGAAUCCCGCCUAGAUGUAGUGAUACAUGGCUCGCGAUAGCCGGCCACCCGCCGUGUGCGGGGCAGGCCUGGUGUGGAGCGCUGCUCGUGGUUGGGACUGGUGGGGUAGACAGAUAGGGCGCCGCCUCUCCCCCGUCGCGUACUGCAUAAUUGUGGGGCACUCGGUGCUAAAUCAUUUGUAGAUGACCUGAUUCUGGGUCAGGGUUUUGUACAUAGCAGAGCAGCUCCCUCACUGCGAUCUAUUGAGAAUCAGUUCUUGACACAAGCUUUU